rnacentral:rRNA from 1 species
UACGAAGGGGGCUAGCGUUGUUCGGAAUCACUGGGCGUAAAGGGCGCGUAGGCGGCCGAUCAAGUCGGGGGGUGAAAGCCUGUGGCUCAACCACAGAAUUGCCUUCGAUACUGGUUGGCUUGAGACCGGAAGAGGUAAGUGGAACUGCGAGUGUAGAGGUGAAAUUCGUAGAUAUUCGGAAGAACACCAGUGGCGAAGGCGGCUCACUGGCCCGGUACUGACGCUGAGGUGCGAAAGCGUGGGGAGCAAACAGG